GUUGAUUUUGGGGGCAAUUUUGGCCCGGGAACUCAGGGUUGGCGUGCUGUUUCUAUGGGAAUAUAGGGUUGUGGGACAUAAUAUACACACACACACACACACACACACACACACACACACAGUAUUUCAGUAUAGACGAGUGUAGUGUAUCAGGGAGGAGUUUAUAUUCAAUAAGUGAUAGUUUGUGUGUUUAUUAAAUGAAACAAUAAUCUACAGGUGAGUAAAUAAUCAACUGCAGUGUUAAUAUCACCUGUGUAAGAUCUGGAGAAAUAAGAUUCACUACUCACCGGAAAUAAUAAUAAUGAUAAUAAUAAUAAUAACAGAUCUCCAGCAGUGGUCACACACAGCAGCUCCGUUAGUUCCGCUAGCUCGAAACUUAGAGAACACAAACACCGGCUCUAAUCUCUAAUAACUAUACAAUAACUGUGAUGUCGAUAAUAAAAUACUUUGUUAAGAAAAACAAAAUACAUCAACUUUCCAAUCGCAGAGUUAAAAUCACUAAAAAUGAAAUAAAAAACAGAUUUAGACGUCGUUAUCGAGGAAGAGGGACAACAGCAGCACUAGCCUGUUAUCGCGAGACUCCAACAUGUCCGUGUCCCGUCACUCCCCUUUACGCAGUACGAUGGGCGUUCCUUGCGUCAUGACGUCGCGGAUCUUCACUCUUAAAACUAAUCCUGACAUCUUUAAUCAGCACAGCAAAGUGUGUUUAAGUGGAAUAUUGUACUGAUUUAAUAACUCUGGAUAUAAAUGUGUUUUAUUAAAUAGCUGAGAAUCUAAUAGUGUUGUUAUUUGGAAUCUAGAUUUAUUUCUAGGUGAUUUUAGGGAAUCAGAUUAAAAUGGUGUUUAUAGAUCAGGACACAAAGUAAACAGGAGAGUUUUAUGGUGGAAUUACAGAAGAAAAAGACUGAAUCAUAUGAAUCCAUAUUAAUCAGGACUAGAGAACUUCCUGGUCAGGGUUGUGGUGGAUCCGGAGUCUAUCCCACUAACACUGGCUCAGGCCAUCUUCUCUCCAUCACUCCUAUAUCUACUCGAUCUACCAGUCUGCAGUGGUAUGGACCAGUUUAAUCAGCUGUACAUGAUGUUCCACUGACACCAUAUCCCCUGAUAUUUAUUACACAUGAUAUUCUAGAAGCACAUCUGCAUCACAACAUUUAGUGUAGGAGCUCCACAAAACCCAUCAGAGUACGCUAGUACAGGUCCUCUCUCAAAACUCCACCAAAAGAAUAGUGUUCUCUCCCCAGGAACCACAGAGGAACCUCAGAGGAGCACAUGGACAUGUGACUGUGGAAUGAUCUGUGCAGCUGUUUUCUGAUCUCUCUAAUCUGAACCGAAUCAGUUCAUCUGCUGGUUACGAAGAUCAUUUCAUAUAAAUCCUACAAAUUAUGGAAGUAUAACAGUGCCACAUGUCCUCAAGGCAAAACGGCAUGUUGAAUUACAUAAACUGAAUAAAAACAUAUCGUAAUAAUACUUGAAUUAGUUUCCUCUGCAGCUCAUUAGGUUUGUUUAUUUUGAUUGAAAAUAAAAUUCCAGCAUUCGUAAUUCAACACACACACACACACACACACACACACACACACACACACACACACACACACACUCACCUUCCUAAAAUACAGUUCCAAAAUAUUCAGCUGUUAAAAUCCCAUCUUCAUUAUUCAUCAGGUAAUAUUUCAACGUUAUUUCUCAACCUCACAAGUUCAGGCUGCAGGUGUACAGUGGAAAUGGAGAACAUUUUGAGAUCAUUAAUGUGAAAUAAAGUGGAUCAGCGUGUGCUUCACUCAGCUAGAACAUUAUACUAGAUAUAUUUAACAUCAGGGAGAUAUUUGUGUCCCACAGUAACCCGUUCCAAACGUUAUAAUCUCAGCAGACACAGAAAUACUGAACAUGCAGGUGCACGUGAAGGGGAUCAGAAUGGGGCAGGAAGUCAGAUUGUGGCAGGAAGUCAGAAUGGGGAAGGAAGUCAGAAUGGGGCAGGAAGUCAGAAUGAACGUUGACAGACAGUGGUCACCUUGAAGGCUGUAGAUGUUUGCAUCUGCGUGCGAUUAAAAGAAGCAAUGUAGUUUCAUGUAGGUUGGUUAUGCUAGAUGGGAAAGUAAAUGUGUGUGUGUUCAAAUUAAUUACAUCACACAUUACAAAUAAUACAAAGAAAUGAUCUCAUAAUAAACAUUAAAACUAUGUUGAUAUUUAACAAAGAAAAGCAUGUGUAGUUGUUGAGUAAUGAAAAUAAUCACUCCUUAUAACCACGAUGAUCAGAAAACGUACCUCACGUCAAACCCUGAGGCACAGCAGCAGAAGAGCACGUUGGUGUGAACCAAUCAGGAUUGUUCCUCUGAGCUCUCUGAUCAACAAGGCGUCUCAUCCCUCAGAACUGUCCCUCACUGUGUGUAAACACUACAGAGUGAUGUUUCUGAAAUCCUCAAACCCGGUACCUACAACCACGCCAGGGUUAAAGUCACACAGAUCACACCGUUUCUUCAUUCUGAGGUUUGAUGUGAACAUGAACUGAAGCUCUUGACCUGGAUCUGCAGGAUUUUAUACACUGUGCUGAUUAAAUCACUGCAGAAAUGUGCAGGUGUUCAGGGGUUUUAAUACAAACACUGUGAGUGUUUAACAGAAUAUAAUAUAAUAACACAAUAAAGGAAUGCGGCUUUCAGCACAAUAUGGCCUUCAUCUGGCUGUAACUAAAUCAACCGCUGUUUCAUAACUUAAAUAAGAAUAUAGAAAUAUUUGUUCUAGUGUUAUAAGAAAUGAUUUCAUCUUUACAUCAGAACAGAACUGAUUUUAACCCACAGACACAUGAUGAGGUCGAAUCCCUGAUUUCUGUGUUUAUAACCAGGAAGUAAAUGAAGAUCAGGUGACCAGUGCAGCAGGUUCACCGAGUUAGAACACCACCACCGUGUCGCGAGGGCUACUGGAGGUAGAUUACUGUUCCAACAGAAGAAUGUUCAUUCCCAUGAGUAUUUAAAGUGAGGGCCAGAUACAGAAGAGAUGGAUUACUGCAGUCUGUAGCCAGCGUUACACACAGGAGCGAUAUGUGAACGAGAAUUACAUAUACAGUGAGAGUGAUGGUAUAUACAGAUUUAGUAUUUAAUAUAAAUAUGAACAAUAACAAGGGUAAAAACGACUGAACCUGACUGCCUCCAGGUUGAUGAUUCGUCAGCACCGAGCUGAUUAAUGACUGUAUCGCCAUAAAAGAGCCAUCUGUAUAGUCAGUGAUAAAGAUGUAACAGGUGAACAUGUCUGCAUGUCCAUUCAUCCAAACAAAUACUUCAUUUAAUAUACUCGUAUAAGUCAUGUAAGGAAUGCUGGCGGUGCCGUGAUCAGCCAUGUUGAUGUGACAUCACGGGUUGAGAAGACACCAUCCCGAAUAAACCUGCGCUGCGUCCAUGACAACUCGACUCUACAGGACAAUGUACAUGUGCAAUAAAGUGCAGAGCAGGUCCGAAUGAAACAUUCCUCUUUCUCUUAUUCAUUCACACUGCAGUAAUUAUUGUGUGUUAAGAGUGUAAAGUGUCGUUUCUUCAGCACUGAAAAUGGCCACAGGAUGGACUUCAAUCAGCCGUGUGUUGUUUGUAAACAGGGAAUGUAGCAUGGAGGAAUUUAGGAGUUUAAGUGACACACUCCUUACACGCCCGGAAGAAACGUUUCUCAUCUCAGUGACGUUAUUUUAGAAUAAACUGUUUUAUGCUCUGGUACACAAACUGCCUUGUUAGGCUAAUAUAAUACUACAGUGGAUAUAAAAAAGUCUACACACCCCUGUUUAAAGUAGAUUGUGGUGCAGAACAUUGAGGUGUCUGCUAGUAAACUGUAGAUGAAAAGGAAUGUCACCUUUCAGCAUGAUAAUGACCCAAAGCACACGUCCAAAUCAACAAAGGCACACGUAACCAAAAGAAGCUCAGUGUUUUUGAAUGAGCUAGCUCGAGCCCAGACCUGAAUCCAGCUAAAAAUCUGUGGGGUGACCUGAAGAGGAUUAGUUCCGGGGUGUGCACACUUAUGCAACCUGGUUAUUGUACGUUUUUCACUUAAUUUUUAAACGCUGUAAUUUCACCACGAGGGGAAAAGUUCUGACGAUUUGUCUUAGUGUCAUUCUUUCACGUCACAAAAACCUGCACUUUCAACAGGGGUGUGUAGACUUUUUAUAUCCAAUGUAGCUGGCUGGAAUUAGCUUAGCUGAUGACACCUGAGCAAAACUACUGAAAUUAAGUGCAUUCAGCAUAAUAAAAGUUCUUAUUAGAUAAAUACAUACACUUCUUCAUGAAGAAUUAGGUGACUAAAAUAAUCAAAUAAAAUAAAAAAUACAUAUAUAAAUGAAUUAGUUUUUAUUCUAAAGUAAAAUUCACAGUAAGCCUUCUGACUGAAUUAUAACUAAAAGAGCUAUUUUUCCUCCAGAAGAAAAGAUACUACAGAAUGUAAAAUCUCACUCUGCUCCAGCUGUGUGCUGCUGCCUGAAGUUGUUUAACUCCGCCCUCUUCUGACUACACCACUGUUCAAUCUCAGUCAGAUUGAUCUCGGUCUCUGAGAUGAUGUCGGAGCUCGUACCCUGCAGGUGUCCUGCUCCAUCACCACUGAGCUGCUGUAAACUCUUCAUCACCUCCUCCAUCUUCUCCAUCAUCUGCUCAAUACACACCACCCCUCCUCUCUCAGUCAUCAGAAGUCCUUCACCUUCUUCACCACUGCACUCCAUGAGCUCUGCUCUCUUCGCCUUGCAAAACAAUUUGAUCUGUUCUGAAUAUUUAGGGUUCUCUCUGUACCGUCGUUCCAGUUCCUUCAUCGCCUCCUCUGCCUUCUGCAAAGCCUCUGUGGCACCGACAUGCCUUUUAUUGCCCUGCUCUUUCCCAGGUCGGGCCUGCUGUAUAAGCUUGUUCACAUGCUCCAGCUGCUUGCUCACCUAUUAAACAUACAUUAAAACACACACACACACACACACACACACACACCCCUUCUCAUCUUCGAGAAUCUCUGGGAUUUUUAUCCAAACCCUCCAUGUUAUAAACUGAACAGUAGUAAUUAAAUAACUCCAAGUUACGUAUACAGUGGUGUAAUGUUUUGGAAUGGCCAAGUCAGAGUCCUGACCUGAAACAAGCAGUUCAUGUGAGGAAACCCACCAACAUCCCAGAGUUGAAGCUGUUCUGUACUGAGGAAUGGGAUAAAAACCCCAGAGUCGAUGUGCAGGACUGAUCAACAGUUACCCCAAACGUUUAUCUGCAGUUAUUACUGCACAAGGGUCUCACACCACAUACUCACAGCAAAGGUGCACAUACUUUUACCCUUCACAAAUAUGCAAUAUUGGAUCAUUUUCCUCAAUAAAUAAAUUUCCAAGUAUAAUAUUAUUGUCUUGUUUGUUUAACUGUGUUCUCUUUAUCUACUUUUAGGACUUGUGUGAAAAUCUGAUGAUGUUUUAGAUCAUAUUUAUGCAGAAAUGUAGAAAAUUCUAAAGGGUUCACAAACUUUCAAGCACCACUGUAUAUAUACACUGUCUGAAUUGACAUGUUGAUAAAGAUUGCAUUAUAUGUUGGUACUAUAAAAGAGCUUUUGUGUUUUUUCCUCAUUAUAAAGACACUUUAGUAAGCGCUCACUCUUGUCUAUUGUCUCACACUGAAGAUAAAAGUAAGAAAUCCAUCCAUCCAUUAUCUAUAGCGAUUAUCCUACAGGGUCACAGGGAACCUGGAUCCUGUCCCAGGGAGCAUGGGGCCCAAGGCAGGGGAAACCCUGGACAGGGUGGCAUCCAUCGCAGGGCACAAUCACAUACACACUCGCACACUACGGACACUUUCAGACAUGCCAAUCAGCCUACCAUGCAUGUCUUUGGUCUGGGGAAGGAAACCGGAGUACCCGGAGGAAACCACCACAACACGGGGAGAACAUGCAAACUCCACACACACAGGGUUUCAGGGGAAACCCCCGACCCUGGAGGUGUGAGGCGACCGUGCUAACCACUAAUCCACCGCACACACAAAAGUUUAAAAUGCAGAACAAUAAAAUAUAGAUGAUGUUUAAGAAGACGUGUCAGACGUCCUGAACUAGUGGUGCAGUGGGAAAAAUAAAUAAAUAAAUACAAAACAAAACACUUUAUUUUAUAUACACACACACACCAACACACACACACAUUCAGCUGCUUGAUGCAGUCCUACUUACCUUGAUGAACUCCUGAUGGACUACAUUCUUCUGGUAUUUUAUACAUAGAAAGAGAAGAGUCACCAGCAGAAUCACCACCACCGUCACUAUGAGUCCAAUUAUCCACCGAGGAAACUUCUCAUCUACAAAGACACACACACACACACACAUUACACCUAUCCGUGACAUUUCCCCUGCAGACCGCCAGGUUGCACCCUCCCUGAGACACACUGAGACACACUGAGACGUACCUGUCACAGCGACGGAGUACACACGGAUGUCUUCUUUAUUCUCCGUGUCCCGGAUGGUGUAACGUCCACUAUCACUGUACGUCACGUCUCUCAGUGUGAGCUCUGGGUAACUGAGUGAUGUUCUGUGUGUGUAUUCAGCUUUACACUGUAGUGAGUGUUGAGUCCCGUUACAGAUCCGUUCACCAUCAGCUGAAUCACUGCUUGUAUAAAUCACCUCCACUGGCUCUGGUACGGUCAGAUCCAGGAUCAGAUCUUCACCAGGGUUCUUCUGAACUGCUGAGAACACGGCUGAGGAGAAAACACAUUCAGCUGUAUUUAGAUUGAAAAAGAAAUCAUUCAAGCUGCAUUCAGAGUCCAGAAAUUGCGUGGGGAAAGUUCACACUUCUGAGGUUGCCAGAUUUUUCUUUAGUAGAAGUUUCAGAGACAGGGUUUUAUAAAAGUGUGAAGACCAUCACCUUUAAAUACAACCAUCUUCAUACCUGAAAAAAAUCAGGGAUAGAAAAUGUGGACUGAAGAAGGAAAUUAUAUUUUUCUUUGCUGUAAAAUGUAAAUUGCCGUAUGUCCAAGAAGCAUCUCCUCCGAUGUCCACUGUGUGAAAAACCCUUUUGUGCAAAGUGAAAAUAUGAUAAGUUCAUUAAUACUGAUGUGUGUGAUUUCAGUACUAAACCCUGACUGUGUGAUUAACUCCACUCUGAAAAUGAUCCUAAUCAUUCAGACUGAAUGUUUUAUCCGCAGUAGAAGAGAUAAAGACACUCACUCUCAAUGCUGAGGCGCACAGUAGAGAUUUCUGAGACGCCACACUCACACGAGUACGUGUUCCUCAUUCUGUAAUCAGCUGCAGUGAUGAUGAGAGAGAGAUCUCCAUCCUGGUACUGAUCAUAAGACAUAUUAUAUCCCUUCACCAGUGAGCUGCAUGACGUAUCAUUACACCGAGCGAAGACAACAUCUCGAUUAUUAAAUAAAGACCAUUUGACUGAACCAGAACAUUUAUAUUCACAUGAGAGAGUCACAGGCUGAUGAAGCUUCACUGUUUUAGAACAGACCGCAGAUAAUACCGGAGCUGAAACAGAGAAGAAGCUGACAGUGAGAGUGUGCAGUGACAGUGAGAGUGUGCGGUGAGAGUGUGCAGUGAGAGUGUGCAUUUGCAGUUAUAGUGAGUGUACAGUGAAAGUGAGAGGUUGCAGUGAGUGUACAGUGAGAGUGUAGAGCGAGAGUGUAGAGCGAGAGUGUACAGUGAGAGUGUGCAGUGUGAGUGAGAGUACAGUGGGAGUGUACAGUGGGAGUGAGAGUACAGUGAGAGUGUAGAGUGAGAGUGUGCAAUGAGUGUACCGUGAGAGUGAUAGUGUAGUGAGAGUGUACAGUGAGAGUGAACAGUGAGAGUGAACAGUGAGAGUGAGAGUGUACAGUGAGAGUGUAGAGUGUAGAGUGAGAGUGUGCAGUGAGAGUGUAGAGUGAGAGUGUAGAGUGAGAGUGUGCAGUGAGAGUUGAGAGUGAGAGUGUACAGUGAGAGUGUAGAGAGUGUGCAGUGGUAGUAAAUGUGGUGAGAGAGUGAACGACACUUACCAGUGGUGAAUGUGAGGGUGAGUAAGAGCAGGACACAGUGGUGAACGCUGCAGGACUGCAUGGCUGAGGAGACACAACACCACCAUCAGUACUGCACAGGUGGAGAAUAAAGCAGGAGAGAGAAACACACUCACAGCUACAU
ensembl:lncRNA